ACGCCCGGUUACAUUCCGAACCCGGAAGCUAAGCCCUCCAGCGCCGAUGGUACUGCACUCGUGAGGGUGUGGGAGAGUAGGACGCCGCCGGAC
rnacentral:rRNA from 1 species